UGCCGACUUAGCUCAGUUGGUAGAGCAUCUGAUUUGUAAUCAGAGGGUCGGGCGUUCAAAUCGUCUAGUCGGCAU
rnacentral:tRNA from 1 species